AACUAAUGAACUUGUAUAAGUAUAUAUUUUGAAAAUAUAAAAAAGAGUAAAGUCUCUAUUAGUUU
rnacentral:tRNA from 1 species